rnacentral:pre_miRNA from 1 species
CAACAUCCGUCGGUUGGCUGCUGGGCCCCAGGCAUCCGUGGGUGAGGACCUCUUUGAGCGGCUCACUCUCAAGCAUGACUAGGAGACCUCUCCUUC